CGUAUUUCACUUCACCUUAAAAUAAUGCAUUUAAAAUUGUUCAACUGGUUUCCUUUAGCAAUUCGUUUAUUUAUAUUGCCGAGGAUGGAAAAGCGAGGGUCUGCCAAGACGGAAGAGACACCUGGGGAGAUGGCGAAGAAACAAAAUGGCCGCCAUUGGACGGAUCGCUUCUAUCAGAGAGAUGGAAUUAACGAUCGGGUGCAUUCGAUGGAAUCAUGACACUUCCUGCGAUUGGAUGACGAUUGACAUCGAUUGGCAGAGAUCGAGUCCAAGUGACAGGAGUCGUGUCGGUCUAGGUAUCACUGUAGCGGUUAAUUUCGUUUGACUCUAGUUGAAAGACGAUCAUAGUACGUAGCGACGAGUCGACGGAGGUCGAAUGUCGCACUAUAAAUAAACCGGAUCGAUCGAUCAGCGAUGGAAAUCGUCAACAAGCACCGAGAGGCGUCCAGGCGUCGGGACGCCACCUCCCGUGGGUAAUUAUACGGCCCUUGUACAUGGACGAACGCAUUCCGUUAAAACGCAGAGUCUACGUCGAUGAGAUUAUGAACAGGGCCGUUGCUUGUCGGGUGAGGAGCAGCUGUUACCAUCCGAGAAUCCCUCUUUCUCGCUCACGCAUGCGCGCAUACAGCGACAACUUCCGGCCUUAGCAAGAAACCCCGCGGAGCGUCUCGGCGCUGAAUUUAUUUCGGGCUCGAUACAACUGCAAGAAGAAACACCACGUGUACCGACGUACCAAUGACACGAUAAAGUUGAGAGAGAGAGAGAGAGAGAUAGAGAGAGAUACGAACAGUCGCAUUCGCCGGCCCCCUGCAUCGUUUAAUGCACUAAGCAGACGCUUUACAUAACCUAACUUCUCGUUAUCUCAAAAGGAACGUCCACAUAUCUGACGCAAAGGAAUUCUACAUGGAAAUAAAUAGUAAAUUAUGAAAGAUUUGUAUGAGACAUGGAAAUAAAAUUAAAAAAUUAAGAAGUAA